rnacentral:rRNA from 1 species
UGAGGAAUAUUGGUCAAUGGACGGGAGUCUGAACCAGCCAAGUAGCGUGAAGGAUGACUGCCCUAUGGGUUGUAAACUUCUUUUAUACGGGAAUAAAGUGAUCCACGUGUGGAUUUUUGUAUGUACCGUAUGAAUAAGGAUCGGCUAACUCCGUGCCAGCAGCCGCGGUAAUACGGAGGAUCCGAGCGUUAUCCGGAUUUAUUGGGUUUAAAGGGAGCGUAGGUGGAUUGUUAAGUCAGUUGUGAAAGUUUGCGGCUCAACCGUAAAAUUGCAGUUGAUACUGGCAGUCUUGAGUACAGUAGAGGUGGGCGGAAUUCGUGGUGUAGCGGUGAAAUGCUUAGAUAUCACGAAGAACUCCGAUUGCGAAGGCAGCUCACUGGACUGCAACUGACACUGAUGCUCGAAAGUGUGGGUAUCAAACAGGAUUAGAUACCCUGGUAGUCCACACAGUAAACGAUGAAUACUCGCUGUUUGCGAUAUACGGUAAGCGGCCAAGCGAAAGCGUUAAGUAUUCCACCUGGGGAGUACGCCGGCAACGGUGAAACUCAAAGGAAUUGACGGGGGCCCGCACAAGCGGAGGAACAUGUGGUUUAAUUCGAUGAUACGCGAGGAACCUUACCCGGGCUUAAAUUACAUUUGAAUAAUCUGGAAACAGUUUAGCCGUAAGGCAAAUGUGAAGGUGCUGCAUGGUUGUCGUCAGCUCGUGCCGUGAGGUGUCGGCUUAAGUGCCAUAACGAGCGCAACCCUUAUCUUCAGUUACUAACAGGUCAUGCUGAGGACUCUGGAGAGACUGCCGUCGUAAGAUGUGAGGAAGGUGGGGAUGACGUCAAAUCAGCACGGCCCUUACGUCCGGGGCUACACACGUGUUACAAUGGGGGGUACAGAAGGCAGCUACCUGGUGACAGGAUGCUAAUCCCAAAAACCUCUCUCAGUUCGGAUCGAAGUCUGCAACCCGACUUCGUGAAGCUGGAUUCGCUAGUAAUCGCGCAUCAGCCAUGGCGCGGUGAAUACGUUCCC